UUUAUUUGAUAGUACCUUACUACUUGGAUAACCGUGGUAAUUCUAGAGCUAAUACAUGCUAAAAACCCCGACUUCCGGAGGGGUGUAUUUAUUAGAUAAAAAACCAAUGCCCUUCGGGGCUCCUUGGUGAUUCAUAAUAACUUUACGAAUCGCAUGGCCUUGCGCCGGCGAUGGUUCAUUCAAAUUUCUGCCCUAUCAACUUUCGAUGGUAGGGUAUUGGCCUACCAUGGUUUCAACGGGUAACGGGGAAUUAGGGUUCGAUUCCGGAGAGGGAGCCUGAGAAACGGCUACCACAUCCAAGGAAGGCAGCAGGCGCGCAAAUUACCCAAUCCCGACACGGGGAGGUAGUGACAAUAAAUACUGAUACAGGGCUCUUUUGGGUCUUGUAAUUGGAAUGAGUACAAUUUAAAUCCCUUAACGAGGAACAAUUGGAGGGCAAGUCUGGUGCCAGCAGCCGCGGUAAUUCCAGCUCCAAUAGCGUAUAUUAAAGUUGUUGCAGUUAAAAAGCUCGUAGUUGAACCUUGGGCCUGGCUGGCCGGUCCGCCUCACCGCGUGCACUGGUUCGGCCGGGCCUUUCCUUCUGGGGAACCCCAUGCCCUUCACUGGGCGUGUCGGGGAACCAGGACUUUUACUU
rnacentral:rRNA from 1 species